AAAAGGGACCAAGUAAAACAUAGAUCAAAUGAUGCUCUACUUAAAGUAGUAAGGAAGGUCGAGGACAUACAGGAGGAAGUAAGCCCAAGUGACACCAGAGAUUCCACCAAAGAAGAACCCUCCAGUGAACUUAGCCCAUCCAUCCGCCGUUUGCAACUGGUCUGGCUCUUUCUUCCUCCCAGUCAGGGUUAGGCUCGGUGCUAUCGAUGGCUCACCUUCUUUGAACGAUGCAACGCCAUACAUCGUCAAGCAAAUGCUGAGGAUCACAACCA
rnacentral:lncRNA from 1 species